rnacentral:rRNA from 1 species
CCCUAUUAUUUGGAUAUUAUUGUAAUUAGUAUUGGUGAAAUUUAAUAAUUUUGGCGGUUAAUUGUUAUUUGGAGGAGCUUGUAUUAUAGAAUUUACUCUUUAUAUUUUAUUAGUAAUUAAUUUAUUCAUCUCCGUUAUUAGUCUUUAAAGAAGAAGGUUUAGAAAAUUGUUAAUUAGUAUUUCAGGUCAAGAUGUAGUUUUUACUAAGAAAUAUUAGCUACAUUUAUGAAAUUAGUGGAUUAUGGUAUAAUAUAAUGUUAAGGUAGUAAAAAUAAGAAAUUGAAUUUAGUUGUAAUAAUAAUUAGAAUAUUAUUGUGAAUAGAUUUUAUUAAUGUA